ACAAAAGGGGGGGAAAACAGAAGAAGAAGAAGAGGAAGAAAGCAGGUACAAGGAAGAUGAAAUCACUGUCUCUAAUAUGAUUAUUUAGUUUCCAACAGAAGUAGGUCUAUUUUCAGCCAAUCCCAAGGGUGAUCUUGAGCGCUGUUGUCGACUGACGAGGGUGAUUUCUUUAAGAGCUGGUCUCAUCUCUGGCUGCUGAAGAGCACAGAGUAGCAAUCAUAACACACAGAUUUCUCUUUGACAUUUCACCAAACAUCUUAUAUGCAUUCACAAAUUAAUCACAUUUAACUUAAACGUCUAGUCAAGUCCUAGAUGCUUCAUAUGGCUAUUAAGCAUGUUUUACCAGUAGACAAUCCAAACUACAACCAAAUCAAGGCUAGAUGUUUCAGUGGACAUUUUCAGCCCCAAAAUUGCAAUAAAAUCUUCAAAUUCUCAGCCUUGAUUUCGCAAGAAAAUCUUGACAAACAAAACAAAUGAAAUAUAAAUAAAUUACAGCAAUAUAAUCAAACGAUUUCAAGAGGACAUGAUGGGCUAACCUCGUCACUGCUAUCUUUGAUUGGCUACCACCGUCGAAAAACCCUUUUGUUGUGUCUGCAUUUGGCAGCAUCCAAAAACAAU
rnacentral:lncRNA from 1 species